rnacentral:rRNA from 1 species
CCUACGGGUGGCAGCAGUGAGGAAUAUUGGUCAAUGGGCGUAAGCCUGAACCAGCCAAGUCGCGUGAGGGAUGAAGGUUCUAUGGAUCGUAAACCUCUUUUAUAAAGGAAUAAAGUGCGGGACGUGUCCCGUACUGUAUGUACUUUAUGAAUAAGGAUCGGCUAACUCCGUGCCAGCAGCCGCGGUAAUACGGAGGAUCCGAGCGUUAUCCGGAAUCAUUGGGUUUAAAGGGGGAGCAGGCGGCCUGGCGGGUCUGGUGUGAAACGGCAAUGGCUCAACCAUUGUAAGGCGAAGAAACCGGCAGGCUAGAGAUCUAAAGAGGAGCGUGGAAUGCCAUGUGUAGCGGUGAAAUGCGUAGAUAUAUGGCGGAACACCAGUGGCGAAGGCGACGAUCUGGGAAGAAACAGACGCUGAGUCCCGAAAGCGUGGGGAGCAAAUAGGAUUAGAUACCCGAGUAGUC